rnacentral:misc_RNA from 1 species
AACACAAUUAUAAUGCAAUCAUGACAUAUCCCCAAUGAAUCGUAAGAUCAGAGCUCUUUAUUUUUGAUUUCUGGAACGGGGUAAAAGCUUUGGAACUAUAUUAUUCUCAACUCCUGUACAAGACAUAAUCAUAAUCAUACAACAAACAUGCCUGCUUACAAGACUGUUCAGUCAAUGCGGAUGCAAAGGUAUCUUGUAUGAAUUGAACUGGUUCUCCAUAGGUCCACCAGAACACUUGCACUACAGGAAAGACCAACUGCUUAAAACAUGUUGCUUUCCUCACUGCACCGAGGUUGAAUCUCUUUAAGUUCAAAGGAGUUCAAUCAUC